CGCGUAGGCGGCCCUGCUUGUCCGGCGUGAAAUCCCAGGGCUCAACCUUGGGGCUGCGCUGGAGGCGGCGGGGCUGGAGGCAAGGAGAGGCUCGCGGAAUUCCCAGUGUAGAGGUGAAAUUCGUAGAUAUUGGGAAGAACACCGGUGGCGAAGGCGGCGAGCUGGCCUUGAUCUGACGCUGAGGCGCGACAGCGUGGGGAGCAAACA
rnacentral:rRNA from 1 species